GGGAUAGUAGCAGUCCGGUAGCUCGUUGGGCUCAUAACCCAAAGGUCGGGGGUUCAAAUCCCUCUCCC
rnacentral:tRNA from 1 species